rnacentral:rRNA from 1 species
CACGUAGGGCGCAAGCGUUGUCCGGAAUUAUUGGGCGUAAAGAGCUCGUAGGCGGUCUGUUGCGUCCGCUGUGAAAACCCGGGGCUUAACCCCUGGCUUGCAGUGGAUACGGACAGACUAGAGGUAGGUAGGGGAGAAUGGAAUUCCCGGUGUAGCGGUGAAAUGCGCAGAUAUCGGGAGGAACACCGGUGGCGAAGGCGGGUCUCUGGGCCCGAUACUGACGCUGAGGAGCGAAAGCGUGGGGAGCGAACAGG